GGAAGGCAGCCGAAUACGGUUCGUCGGGCCGGUCUGCUACACCGUGCGGCGUGCAAAAUGCCUUGUGGGUUCGAAUCCCACGCCUUCCG
rnacentral:tRNA from 1 species